ACAGCUAUGCUGCCCCGAACAUGCCCCAUCUCCUCUAAUCUCAGAAGCUAAGCAGGGCAGGGCCUGGCUAGUACUUGGAUGGGAGA
rnacentral:rRNA from 1 species